UAGCGUGCACAAAAGUGUCAGAAGAUACCUCGUGUCUCGCUGCGAACUCGCCGUAUGCGUGGCGCGCCAGGCAAAUGUGGACCAACGCUUUUUAUGUUGUGGCCUUUGUCUGGUUGUGGAAAGUUGGGUGGACGUCGAAAAAAAAAUAAUGCGUAUUGUUAGCGUGCCUCAGCUCGUCCACUACGCAGCGAAAUCUAUGAUGGGAGUAAUGUCGUCGACGCAGCACCGGCAACUUGGAGAUCGUCGUACCAUUGAAAAGUGGUGAGACCGUGACCCUAUAGCAGUGUCGACAUAAUGGCAGGGAAAUGCAGGGAUCCCGCAGCCAUGGCUACAGCAGCACAGGGUGUAAUCUGGAUGUCAUGUCAGACCUGAAGCCUACAGCUUCAGAUUGUGCGCUUGACUGUCAAGCCUUGUGAAGGAGAGGAUGGAGGCUUUUAUUUCCCCUUACGUAAGAUUAUAUGUAACUUGCAUGCUGAUAAUAGACCUGUUGCAUGGACCACUCAUCUACAGCGUGCCUCAUAAUCAUGUGUUGGCUUUGACACUUACAACUCUAUCAUUUAUUUUUGCAGC